rnacentral:rRNA from 1 species
CAGUUCGGAUUGGAGUCUGNAACCCGACUCCAUGAAGCUGGAUUCGCUGUAAUCGCGCAUCAGCCACGGCGCGGUGAAUAACGUUCCCGGGGCCCUUGUACACACCGCCCGUCAAGCCAUGGAAGCCGGGAGUGCCUGAAGUGCGUGAGCGCAAGCAGCGCCCUAAGGUAAAACCGGUGACUGGGGCUAAGUCGUAACAAGGUAAC